rnacentral:rRNA from 1 species
UACGGAGGGUGCGAGCGUUGUCCGGAAUCACUGGGCGUAAAGGGCGCGUAGGCGGCCGUGUAAGUCACUUGUGAAAUCCCGGGGCUCAACUCCGGGGCUGCAGGUGAGACUGCGUGGCUAGAGCACGGUAGAGGCGAGUGGAAUUCCCGGUGUAGCGGUGGAAUGCGUAGAUAUCGGGAAGAACACCGGUGGCGAAGGCGGCAUCCUGGACUGGUCCUGACGCUCAGGAGCGAAAGCGUGGGGAGCGAACAGG